rnacentral:tRNA from 1 species
GGGGGUGUAGCUCAUAUGAUAGAGCACUCGCUUCGCAUGUGAGAGGCACGGGGUUCAAUUCCCCGCACCUCCA